AGCUUUCACCAACCAGCUUCUCAUCUCCGCAAAGGGCUGGCGAGCCAUCGUGCGCUCCAGUUCUUGAAAACAUAGAUGAACUGAAGUCAAAGUGAAGAGCGAGAAGC
rnacentral:snoRNA from 1 species